rnacentral:rRNA from 1 species
GACGAACGCUGGCGGCGUGCUUAACACAUGCAAGUCGAACGGUGACGAGGAGCUUGCUCCUCUGAUCAGUGGCGAACGGGUGAGUAACACGUGAGCAGCCUGCCCCAGACUCUGGGAUAACAGUUGGAAACAGCUGCUAAUACCGGAUACGAGACGGAGAGGCAUCUCUACCGUCUGGAAAGUUUUCGGUCUGGGAUGGACUCGCGGCCUAUCAGCUAGUUGGUGAGGUAAUGGCUCACCAAGGCGACGACGGGUAGCCGGCCUGAGAGGGCGACCGGCCACACUGGGACUGAGACACGGCCCAGACUCCUACGGGAGGCAGCAGUGGGGAAUAUUGCACAAUGGGCGAAAGCCUGAUGCAGCGACGCCGCGUGAGGGAUGACGGCCUUCGGGUUGUAAACCUCUUUCAGCAGGGAAGAAGCGAAAGUGACGGUACCUGCAGAAGAAGCACCGGCUAACUACGUG